CAGCAGCAGAGUGAUUUCUCGCAGGCUGCUGAUGGGAACUCCUGUGACAGAACACAGGGAAGACACGCGCUACGAUCUCGUCUGACCUGGUGUCACGGGCUCUGUCUACGACCACAAGAGGGAGCCGUUUAUUCACCGAGCAGAAAAAACGCUCUUGUAAUUCCAGAAACUGAGGGUUUUCACUCACACACGAUGCCUGGCGACUGACCCAGUAGAGGAUGAGGGGCUGAAAGAAGUCAAUAGCGCUGCGUUCUCGUAUAAUCUAAACCCUCGAGAGGAACCAUCGUGUCAAGAACACACUUUGUUUGAGGAUGAGAGAACACGGCGGAGACCACUGGACUUCUGUCAACAACCACAACUACAGUGCAUUUCAUUGAAAGACCGGACUCUGCAGUAAAACAUCGGAGCAACACUAUGCCAAAGCAUGUGCUAACCAUUUUGUGGAUGUUGCAAACGAAUGGAAAAUCAAGGAAAAAUUAAGCACCCGUGGCACCGACGGUGCCCGUAACAUUCCACUUUUCUCCCUCCAUUUGAACAGCUGCCUUGAACGGCCCACUCAGGCAUUGUCCUCUGAUAAUGUCAACAAAGUGCUCUGCCUCAGUAACUGGCUGAAUGUAAACAAGGACUAAGUCAAAUUGUUUUUUAUAUGUGCACCUGUUUGAAAGGGAACUGGCACAACGAUGGAACACACUGUGUCUUUGUUGUUGUCAUUUAUGUUACGUUAAUUGUAUUGGUGGUUGGCGGUUUUGAUAUUCAACCUGCACUUUAACGUGGGCCUGGGUUCUGUUCUUAUUUCUAUUUGAGAAUAUAAGAAAAAUUUGUAAAAACAGUGUUUAAAGUUUAAAGAAAGUCUUUUGUGUAGCUUCUACGUUCAUUCCAAUAUUUUAUAUAAAUAAAAAUCUGUUAUAAGCUU